UCCUCUGGCCUGCGGGGAAAGCGGCGGCUCCACUCAGAUCCAGGGGCUCGCGCGGUACGGCUCCCCCUCGCUCGUUCGGCGGUGACUGGGCAGCCCUCGUCCGGCAGUUGCAGCAGCAGGUGGCUGCUGCUCCCUGAUGGCCUGGGUCGUCGUCGCCUCCUCGUGGUGAGGCGGGCUGCUCGUUGCCGCCGUUCUCCCCGGCUGCGGGCUGCCUCCCCUUCGUCGGAUCUGAUGUCUCCUGCUGGCCGUGCCAGCUUGUUUCCUCGGCACCCCCAUGGCCCGGCUCUUGCCUAGAUGUUGGGCUUCGGCGGUGGGUGGCCAAUCUCCUCGGGAUGCAGUGUGGAGGAUGCAAAUGUCGGGUAAAAGCUCAAUCGACGGCGACACCUACGGGUGCCGUUUCCUUCCUGGAGGCGUCGAGUUGGCACUGCCGUCCUCUCCCCCUUGCUCUUUGAUCCAGAGAGAAAUCUCGGACCCGGGUUCCCCGAGUCCGGCGGUGUCGACGUCUCCACGUCAAUUCCUCGUUGGGGGCAUCGUCUUGGAUUGUUCUGCUCUGGGCGGAUCCGCCCCUUGCUGCUCCAUCUUCACCUCGGUUAGGAUCCUAACAAGCCUUUGUCCUAGGACACUCUGUUGGCGCUUGCCUGGACGCCUGGGGUGGCCUAGACGACUUGCUACCCUUCGACCUCGGCGGCAGUACAUCGGUACUGUGCCCUCCGGUCUCGGUGGCGCGUUGUCUUUCGGCUUCGCCGGCGGCACACCGGUGCCGCCGCACCAACUCGGCUAUCCGACGCCCUUCGUUCGUGCCAUUGACGCUUCUUGGCAUGCUCCUACUUCGAUUAUCCUUAUGGACAGGGCUAUGCAUCAUGGUGGCCCAGACGACGCUUGCGUGGAUAUCCUGGCGUGGCCUUGGCGGCAAGCUGCCCUUCGACCUCGGCGACGAUACACCGGUGUCGUGCCCUUCGGUCUCGGUGGAGCGCCGUCUUGCGGCUUCGACGGUGGCACACCGGUGUCACCGCACGAACUCGGCUAUGCGACGCCCUUCGUUCGUGCCAAUGAUGUUCCUCUGUGAGCUGCCGGUUUUGGUGCCUUUUUUCUCCCUAGGGCUUCUUGUGGUUCUUUGUUGAUGGUGGAACGAGCUGCUCGGCGGAGCUUGCUCCUGAGGUGUUGGUUACCAGGGUUUUCGGUUUGGUCUCUGUGCCAACCUUCCCCUCUGUUUACUUCGUUCUUUCUCUAGUUUUUGGCUCUCCUCCUGGGCGCCGUCCUCUGUAAUUUUCCUUUGCACUUUGUGUGCGCCUUCAUGUAUUUGUACUGACUGCCAAGUCACUCCUCGAGUUGGAAUAUAACAAGCGGUGGGGUUUGACCCCCCCGUCAAUCUCGAAAAAAAAAU
rnacentral:rRNA from 1 species